CUCGUACUCCCCGAAAUGCUUUUAGGAGCAGCGUGGGGGUUUAGUUUAUUAGAGGUAGAGCUACCAAUUGGACUAGGGGGAGUCAAAUCCUACCAAAUCCAGAUGAACUCCGAAUGCUAAUAAAUAUACCCCACAGUGAGGGCUUGGGUGCUAAGGUCCAAGUCCGAGAGGGAAAGAACCCAGACCAUCAGCUAAGGUCCCCAAAUAUAUGUUAAGUUGAAAAAACGAGGUUUGACUGCCCAGACAGCUAGGAUGUUGGCUUGGAAGCAGCCAUUCAUUUAAAGAGUGCGUAACAGCUCACUAGUCGAGCGGUCGAGCAUGGAUAAUAAUCGGGCAUAAACAUAUUACCGAAGCUAUGGACUUGUAAAAGUGGUAGGGGAGCAUUGUAACCUGCGUAGAAGGUGUGUUGUGAGGCAUGCUGGAGUGGUUACAAAAGAAAAUGUAGGCAUAAGUAACGAUAAUGCGGGUGAGAAACCCGCACACCGAAAGACUAAGGUUUCCUCAGCGAUGCUAAUCAGCUGAGGGUUAGUCGGGACCUAAGGCGAAUCCGAAGGGAGUAGUCGAUGGACAACAGGUUAAUAUUCCUGUACUUCUUAUAAUUGCGAUGGGGUGACGGAGUAUUGAAAGCACCGCGUACUGACGGAAUAGUACGUUGAAGACUGUAUUUAUAGAAUUUGUAGGUAAAUCCGCAGAUUUUGGAGAAGGUCGAUAGUACCACAAAUCUUCGGACGAGUGGAUAGUGUGCCUAAAGGCUUCCAAGAAAAACCUCUAAGCUUCAGAUUAUAAGAACCCGUACCGUAAACCGACACAGGUAGUUGGGAUGAGAAUUCUAAGGUGCUCGAGAGAUUCAUGGCUAAGGAACUAGGCAAAAUCGACCCGUAACUUCGGGAGAAGGGUCGCCCAUCUUCGGAUGGGCCGCAGUGAAAAGGUCCAGGCGACUGUUUAUCAAAAACACAGGGCUUUGCUAAAUUGAAAGAUGAUGUAUAAGGCCUGACACCUGCCCGGUGCUGGAAGG
rnacentral:rRNA from 18 species